UGACAGGAAAAUCCUCAAACCCCUUUAAUUGUUUUCGUUUUUGUGGCCUGGGUCGAUGGCGGAAUUCGAAAAUAGCAUGGAAUUCACCGGCAAAUCCAAGCCCAGCACCAUGGCCUCCUCUUUCUUCAAUCGUUCUCUCACAAUCCACUCAUCAAAAUCAUCCCCCAAAGACUUCGUUCAAUCCCCUUCCAGAUUCUACAAUUCCUUCGAAUCCAUGAAAGGGAAGGUUAAAAAGCUCUGCAAUAUCUUCGAAUCGUCGAAAGCGCCCAACAAGUCAGUUCUCCAUGAAUCCCAAUCCCAAUUGCUAACGCUAGCGAGCAAGCUUAAGUCUGUGAAAUCCAUGGGACCUGAAUAUAAUAGGUACACUUUUGGGUUCACCAAUACUGGAAUUCGACUACC
rnacentral:misc_RNA from 1 species